GCACCACUAGCUCAGUUGGUAGAGCAGCUGACUCUUAAUCAGAAGGUCCGGGGUUCGACUCCCCGGUGGUGCACCA
rnacentral:tRNA from 2 species